rfam:Fukomys damarensis contig124387, whole genome shotgun sequence.
UGAGGUGAGGGUGAUCUGAGUGCAACAUCUGUCACCCCAAUGAUUGUAAGGGUUGAUUUGGCUGAUCUGGCUGGCUAGGUAAGUGAACCCCUUUUGCUCUCAUUGCUCCAGGUGUGUCCCUCCCAAAGUUGUGGUUGAAGAAGAUGACCACCCCGAUAAAGGAGGACUGUUUCCUCAGCCAAGGAUAUACAAGUAGCUGUGCUCCCCCUGAUAGAACCUCCAAAUAAGCUCCCAAUGACUUAUUCUGAAUGGCAGGCUACAGUUAGAGGAUUCUAAUGCUGUACCCAGCAUAUUAUCAGAG